GCGGAAGGAGCCAUUGAUAUUGCGGGAUGUGUCAACAAAAUGCGCCAGAAUAGGCCAAAUAUGGUUCAGACAUUGGGGCAGUAUCAGUUUCUGCACACCGCCGCGGUUUAUUCACUUACUUUCGACUGCAAACAAAUCAAGGGAGAAAACUUCAACCAGUACAUGAACAAUUUCACUACACAAGAACUGAAUAGUCUGUUUAAGCAACUGCAGCACACGGUCGAAAAACGAUCAAAAUAUGAAACAGAAGCGGUUGAACGAAAUAAACAGCACCUAAAUAAAAACAGAACAAAUGCUGAUAUCCCG